rnacentral:rRNA from 1 species
AGGUAGUUAAAUAUAAACCUAUAUAAAACAACGGCGGCAUUUUUAUACUAGAGAAACUUGUUUCAUAAUCGAUAAUCCACGAUAACUUUUACUUAUAAUUAAAAUUUAUAUACCGCCAUCCAAAGAAUUAAUUUAAAAAUAUUACUCUAAAUAUAAAUAUAACAAGUUAGGUCAAGGUGUAAUCAAUAUAUAAGAGAAAAUGAGUUACAAAUAAACAAAAAUUUAAUAAAAUAUAACAACAAUUAAAUUUAAAUAGAAUUU